GAAGCCCCAUUCCUCUCCUCUCUCAAACUGAAGUGAACAUUUGAAAUUUAGAGCACAGAACCCUAGCCCUCCAGCUCUCCAUCCCCGCAGCCACCGCAGCCCCGCAACAACCGCAGCCACCGCAACCCCGCAGCCCCGACAACCCCGCAGCGACGCUUCGUUGUCAUAGCCGAACUCGUCUCCACUGGGUAGAGGCAUCGAGUGCGGAAGCUCCGUCGCUGUUGCAGGAGCUGUGUCGCCGUUGUAGGAACCUGCGUCGUCUCUUCUGUUCGAGCUCUAUCUCUUUGUGUUUGCCGGUGUCGUCGUCUCCUCUGUCGUCGCCAUCACUCCCCUUCCUUCUGGUCGCCGUGCAGUAGGUGGUGUCCUCUUUGCCCUUGAAGAGGCAGCUUCAUGGUGGAGGAGUGCUCUUUGGUGGAGGACAUUUUUCACCACAGCAGUAGUUGCUAUUGUUUUAAGAGCUGCAAUUCAGCUUUACGCCACCAGGAAAUGCGGCUUAUUCGGAGAAGGUGGUCUGAUCAUGUAUGAUGUUGGUUCUUCCCAAGGUAACAUACAGCGCCGGCGACGUACUAGCAGCAAUACUAUUGGGGGUCAUUGGAGGAGUUCUUGGAAUUAAUAAGUAAUUGAUUAUCUAAGUUAUUUCUUUUGGUCUUAAAAGUAUGAAACUCAACAUCUUAGCUCUAUUGAUGAAAGAUUAUAGGUUGAAUUUAUAUAUUUGAAAUUUUAUAUAGGUUUUUUAAUAAUUUUAUUUAAUAUUUAAUUAAACCGGUUGAAUCCCGGUCGAACGAGUAAACCAGUAACUUUACCGGUUUAUUGACCGGUCCGGUUCUCACAACCUUGCUAUUUGCUAUUAACUAAGCAUGCAUGCCUCGAUAAUAGUGAACCUUUAAUUUCUUCUUCCUCCGUCUCUGUCACCCUCGUGUUGGCUCCCUCCUCUGCCGGGUCUGCUCUGCUUGUGCCGGAGCCCUGCUCAUGCGGCCACCCUCUCCUCGCCGGUGGCCUGCCUCUGCAAUGGUGGAACGGCCCCAACCCGUCCCUGACUGCUGACUUUUGUUCUACUUCUGGCCUUCUGCAGUGUAGAGGCUGCAGCUUGGUACAAUUGAAGCUGCUGAAGUUUAUAUUUCAAUGAUUUGCAAUUAAAGGACUAUCUUUAGCUUGAUAUGUCUCUUAUGGGUUAAGAACUGUGGCAAGAUGGAUUUAAUUUCCAAACAUAUAAGAUCAUGGACGAGACACAAGAAGAUGCAGGCCCGUCAGAGCAAGGGUCCUCUAAUGUUUCAUGGUAGCCUUCUGACUUUGUUGAAAAAUUUGGAUCUGUUUCAUCGGCCUUAAACAAUAAAGAACCCCCUAGACAUUCUGGUAAUGAUAUUUUGUCACCUAGAAAGCAUCAGAAAUUCUCUGGAGCACAGGAAUUCAACAAGAUCCAAUUCCAAAUGAAUUUUAUUCAAUCAUUCCGCAUGAGUUGCGUGCGCGAGGCCAAAAAACUCCAUGCCCGCAUUGUGAAGACCAAAGGAUCUUGGCACUCAGACAACUCCUCCGUUCUCUCACUCUACACCAACCUUAACCUCUACCAUGAUUCAAUCCUCCUCUUCCGUUCCCUUCGUUCCCCUCCUCCUCUUGCUUGGAGCUCCAUCAUCAAGUGCUACACUUUCCAUGGUUUCUUCCACCAUUCCUUCUCUUCCUUUAGUCAAAUGAGGGCACUUGGCAUUCGCCCUAACCGCCACGUCUUCCCUUCUCUCCUUAAAGCCUGCGCCCUCUUGAAGGACUUCUACCUCGGCCAAUCUCUUCAUGCCUGCAUCCUUCGCCUCGGCUUCGAUUUUGAUUUGUACACAGCCAAUGCCUUGAUGAAUAUGUACUCUAAGUUUCAUGGCUUGGGGGCCUGUGCAGGUAAGGUGCUUGAUGGAUUGUCUGAGAGAGGCAGAGCCAACUGCAGCACCAUGGCUGCUGUCAAUAUGAACAUAGAUAAUGUCAGAAAGGUAUUUGAUAGAAUGCCUGUGAGGGAUGUUGUUUCUUGGAGCACUGUCAUUGCCGGAAAUGCUCAAAAUGGCAUGUAUGAGGAAGCAUUGGCCUUGGUCAGGGAGAUGGCUAGAGCCCACUUGAAGCCUGAUGCCUAUACCUUGUCAAGCAUUCUCCCUAUCUUUGCAGAGCAUGCUGAUCUUAUUAAAGGAAAGGAGAUUCAUGGAUAUGCUAUCAGAAAUGGGUUGGAUGCGGAUGUUUUCAUUGGAAGCAGCUUAAUUGACAUGUACGCAAAAUGUACUCGCGUCGAAUACUCGCUUCGUUCCUUCUACCUCUUGCCCAAGAGAGAUGCUAUUUCUUGGAACUCUAUCAUUGCAGGCUCUGUGCAGAAUGGUAAAUUCGAUCAGGGGCUCAUGUUCUUCCGCCAAAUGUUGAAGGACAAAGUCAAACCCAUGCAUGUUUCCUUCUCCAGUGUAAUACCGGCUUGUGCUCACUUGACUGCCCUCAGUUUGGGAAAACAGAUCCAUGGAUAUAUUAUUAGAAUUGGAUUUGAUGAUAAUAAAUUUAUAGCGAGCUCUCUGAUGGAUAUGUAUGCCAAAUGUGGCAACAUCAAGAUGGCUAGAUAUAUUUUUGACAAAAUAGAGGCAAAUGACAUGGUAUCAUGGACCGCCAUCAUUAUGGGAUGCGCUAUGCAUGGCCAUGCUCUUGAUGCAGUUUCUUUCUUUGAGCAGAUGCUAAUGGAUGGAGUAGAACCCAACUAUGUGGCAUUUAUGGCUGUUCUAACGGCUUGCAGUCAUGCAGGGUUGGUAGAUGAAGCUUGGAAGUAUUUCUACAGUAUGGAACAGGAGUUUGGUAUUACUCCUGGCCUGGAGCACUAUGCUGCUGUUGCCGACUUGCUUGGCAGAGCUGGAAGAUUGGAGGAAGCCUAUGACUUUAUCUGCAAAAUGAGAGUUCAACCGACCGGAAGUGUGUGGUCGACAUUGUUGGCUGCUUGUAGGGCUCAUAAGAAUGUUGAAUUAGCCGAGAAGGUUCUCGACAAGAUAAUUUUGGUCGAUCCUGAAAACAUAGGUGCUUAUAUUUUGAUGUCAAACAUCUAUUCAUCAGCUCAAAGAUGGAAAGAUGCUUCAAAGUUGAGAACCUGCAUGAGGAAAAAGGGCUUGAAGAAGACUCCAGCAUGCAGCUGGAUUGAAGUUGGAUACAAAGUCCAUACUUUUACGGCUGGAGAUAAAUCACAUCCAUAUUAUGACAAAAUAAACGAGGCAUUGUAUGUAUUAUUGGAGCAGAUGGAGAAAGAAGGUUAUGUUCUUGACACAAGUGAGGCACUUCAUGAUGUUGAUGAGGAACACAAACGUGACUUGUUACUCACCCACAGUGAGAGGCUUGCCAUAGCAUUUGGCAUCAUUAGCACUCCUGCAGGUACAACUAUCCGCGUAAUAAAGAAUAUUCGGGUUUGUGUGGACUGCCAUACAGCAAUUAAGUUUAUUGCAAAGAUUGUUAACAGGGAAAUCAUUGUCAGGGAUAAUAGCAGAUUUCACCAUUUUAAGAAUGGAUCUUGUUCAUGUGGAGAUUAUUGGUAAUAUUAAUGUAGCAACUAUGGUUGAAUUCCCAGAAUAUAGUGGUUUUUUAUUCUCAAGUUUAUAAUUGAAAAGAGCUAACCUCCAUGACCUGAUCCUUUACUUGUGCUAUUCUAUAAUCUUAUUUCUCUCAAUCUCUCUCUCUCUUUCUCACACACACACAGCGCGAUUGCUUCACAGUAUUACACUGAGUCAUGCUAACAUGGCACCAUGACUUUUGCACUUGAGAACAUUGAGUAAGUUCUGAGAGUCAGUUUGCAUUUUUGCAAUGAGGGCGUGGAGGGUUCAUCCACCACAUGGCGUUUUGAAGUGGGUUCUUAUUUGGAUGAGUUUUUGUUUCAUUGUAUUCAAAGUUGGACCACUCUCCCAAUGGCCGUUGAAGGAGGCCACAACUAUUCAUUCUCCAUGUCCUCCAUGUGAAUGCUUUUGCUCUUUGGCUGGGUAUCCCUUCGAUCCUUCGGGGCAACGGAAAGGAAUAAAUUCUCCUUCUAUGUACUGAAGGGAGAUUGUAUAUAGUUAGAAGGAUAUUGCUGACAUUACCAAAACAAUUAAUUUAAGAAAAGAAACAUCACACUGGGGAUUUGAUUACAAUUGUGUCAUGAAAUAUAGCACGUUACCUUGCUCGAGAUCAUACACGAGAUGGUUUCAUGAUUCCCUUCACAUGUUGGUGACCACACAUACAUACAUUGCACUAACGAAUUAAUAAGUAACAACAUAUAUAAUUUACCAUUCAUGUUAGGUGUACAUUAAAAUCAGUCACCAAAAUUAGCUAUUAGAGUAGAAUAUAUAUUAGAAUACAAAAUACACAUUAAAAAUAAGUUAAAUUAUACAUAUAUUUAUAUAUA